UACGUAGGGAGCAAGCGUUAAUCGGAAUUACUGGGCGUAAAGCGUGCGCAGGCGGUUUUAUAAGACAGGUGUGAAAUCCCCGGGCUCAACCUGGGAACUGCAUUUGUGACUGUAGAGCUGGAGUGCGGCAGAGGGGGAUGGAAUUCCGCGUGUAGCAGUGAAAUGCGUAGAUAUGCGGAGGAACACCGAUGGCGAAGGCAAUCCCCUGGGCCUGCACUGACGCUCAUGCACGAAAGCGUGGGGAGCAAACAGG
rnacentral:rRNA from 1 species